GCUCUAACAAACACACACACACAGCGCGAGAAGGCCCUGCACGAUUGGAGAGACUGUGCUGGCUCAGAACCUCUGAAGCGGCCAUGAACUUCUCCACCUCCAGCAGUGAGGGCAGCUGCGGUACACCGAUGACAAGCCUCCGUUCAUCAGCCACUUCUGCACACCCAGAGUUCAGUUUUUAGAGCUGGACAGUGAGUCCAGCGGCUCGUACAGCGUCGUCCUCUUCCUCCUCCUACUCCUCCACCUCCACCUCCACCCGACAGCCCAAAUAUGCCCCGCCAUCUGCCACGCCGUCCACCCCCGACCCCUCCACAACCACAACAGGAGGAUGGAGACGAGUAUUUAGCCGGCAAUGAAGAAGAGGAGAACUUAUUUAUUUUAAAUAAAUAUUUGUAAAUAGCA